CGGUGAUGACGACGACGUUGAUAGGCCGGGUGUGUAAGCGCAGCGAUGCGUUGAGCUAACCGGUACUAAUGAACCGUGAGGCUUAACCUUACAACGCCGAAG
rnacentral:rRNA from 1 species